GAUACCUGCUGAGGAGAGCUGCUGACAGGGAGGGGAACCAGCCAAAGAAGACGGGUGCUGCAGUCAACAAGGCUGAAAGGAGGUGGAGAUCUGAAGAGCGCUUUGACAUCAGACGUGGAGAUGCAGAGUUCGGAGUUUGCCCAGCUGGUUUGGUCCAGUGUCUGCUCACUGUGCUCUCCUCCCUAUGUUUGGAAUGGUCAUAUAUCUCUCCACUGUCUUCUGCCUGUACAGUUUCUAACAAGGGAACUGCUCUCCACUUAAAAUGUAUUUCUUUCCUUACCACUGAAGAUGUGUUUACCACCAUCACAAGUUUUGCUACGGAUCUCCCACUGGACCCGGAGUUCACAAAUUAGGCGUCUCCUACUCCCCAGUACUGGGAUUGCAAGCACACUGCACUAUACCUAGCUUUCUCACGUAAAUUCCAGGAUUCCAACACAGGUCCUCAUGCUUGUGUGGGAAAGCACUUUGCCAAAUGAGCAUCUCCCAAGUUCCUUUGUUGACUUGUAGUGUGUCUCUCACUCUCUGAGUUAGUUGAACUUUCAAAUAUGUUACAUAAAGUUUCC
rnacentral:lncRNA from 1 species